CGGGCCAGCUCUCCCCAACGAGGGCCAGCCUAUCUGUAAGGAUAGGAG
rnacentral:ncRNA from 1 species